rnacentral:rRNA from 1 species
GACGAACGCUGGCGGCGUGCCUAACACAUGCAAGUCGAACGGAACUGUUUUGAAAGAUUUCUUCGGAAUGAAUUUGAUUUAGUUUAGUGGCGGACGGGUGAGUAACGCGUGAGUAACCUGCCUUCAAGAGGGGGAUAACAUUCUGAAAAGAAUGCUAAUACCGCAUGAUAUAUCGGAACCACAUGGUUCUGAUAUCAAAGAUUUUAUCGCUUGAAGAUGGACUCGCGUCCGAUUAGUUAGUUGGUGAGGUAACGGCUCACCAAGACCGCGACCGGUAGCCGGACUGAGAGGUUGAACGGCCACAUUGGGACUGAGACACGGCCCAGACUCCUACGGGAGGCAGCAGUGGGGGAUAUUGCGCAAUGGGGGCAACCCUGACGCAGCAACGCCGCGUGAAGGAUGAAGGUUUUCGGAUUGUAAACUUCUUUUAUUAAGGACGAAACUUGACGGUACUUAAUGAAUAAGCUC